CCUACGGGAGGCAGCAGUGGGGAAUCUUGCGCAAUGGGCGGAAGCCUGACGCAGCAACGCCGCGUGCGGGAAGAAGGCCUUAGGGUCGUAAACCGCUUUCAGGGGGGACGAAGCUUCCGGGGUUAAUAGCCUACGGGGUGACGGUACUCCCAAAAGAAGGUCCGGCUAACUACGUGCCAGCAGCCGCGGUAAUACGUAGGGACCGAGCGUUGUCCGGAAUCAUUGGGCGUAAAGAGCGUGUAGGCGGCUUGGUAGGUCUCGUGUGAAAUCCCGCGGCUCAACCGCGGAUCCGCACGGGAAACCCCUAAGCUCGAGUCCGGAAGAGGAGAGUGGAAUUCCUGGUGUAGCGGUGAAAUGCGCAGAUAUCAGGAAGAACACCCGUAGCGAAGGCGGCUCUCUGGGACGGUACUGACGCUGAGACGCGAAAGCGUGGGGAGCAAACAGGAUUAGAUACCCUGGUAGUCCACGCCGUAAACGAUGGGCGCUAGGUGUGGGAGGUGUCGACUCCUCCCGUGCCGAAGCUAACGCAUUAAGCGCCCGCCUGGGGAGUCGGCCGCAAGGCUAAAACUCAAAGGAAUUGACGGCNGAGACGNGCGACGCGACGACGAGGAGAG
rnacentral:rRNA from 1 species